rnacentral:rRNA from 1 species
AUUGAACGCUGGCGGCAUGCCUUACACAUGCAAGUCGAACGGUAACAGGUCUUCGGACGCUGACGAGUGGCGAACGGGUGAGUAAUACAUCGGAACGUGCCUAGUAGUGGGGGAUAACUACUCGAAAGAGUGGCUAAUACCGCAUGAGAUCUACGGAUGAAAGCAGGGGAUCGCAAGACCUUGUGCUACUAGAGCGGCCGAUGGCAGAUUAGGUAGUUGGUGGGAUAGAAGCUUACCAAGCCGACGAUCUGUAGCUGGUCUGAGAGGACGAUCAGCCACACUGGGACUGAGACACGACCCAGACUCCUACGGGAGGCAGCAGUGGGGAAUUUUGGACAAUGGGCGCAAGCCUGAUCCAGCAAUGCCGCGUGCAGGAUGAAGGCCUUCGGGUUGUAAACUGCUUUUGUACGGAACGAAAAGCCCUGGGUUAAUACCCUGGGGUCAUGACGGUACCGUAAGAAUAAGCACCGGCUAACUACGUGCCAGCAGCCGCCGUAACAC